GCCCAGCGUCCUCCUAAGCCGCCAUCUUGCCGCUUCCCCCCGAGAACAGUCCGUAUCAACAGAUAAAUGGGUAAACAAACAAUGGUAUAUCUAAACAAUUGGAAUACUACUCAGUAAUAAAAAGGGAUGGAUUAUUGAUACAUACUACAACACAGAUGGAUCUUAAAAUAAUUAUGCUGAGUUAGUGAAGACAGAACAGAGUACAUGUUAUGAUUCCACUUAUGUCAAUUUUUAGAAAAUGUGAACUGACCUAUAAUAACUGCAAGAAAAUCAGUGUUGCCCAGUGAAUGAGGGUAUAUGGUUGGGAGGGAGGACUUAGAAAAGGACAUGAAACUUGGUGGUGAUGGAUAUGCUUAUUAUUUUGAUUGCAGUGGUAAUUUUACAGACGUAUACCUAUGUGAAAACUUACCAACUUGUGUUUAAAUAGGUGACAUUUACUAUAUAUCAGCUACACUUUAAUAAGGUUGCUUUUACCAAAAAUACCCCAAAACCGAACAAACAAAAAACCCAAAAGAAAACCCACACAUAUACACAAAAUAGAGUUUCCCUAAUAGACCAAACUUCCCUUGAGCUCCUUUUUAGCUUUCCAGAGUUGAUGAGAGGUGCGAUUACUCAGCAGACUGAGUGGUACACACCAAAAAAGUGAGAGUCACAAACCAGUGGGUGUGAAGAAUGUGGCUGCCAGUGGCUUGAGAAUAGAUCUGGGUUCUUGAGGUGUAGACUGGGAAUUCCCCAAACCUUAAAAGUUGUUUUAUCGGCUUAGGAUUCUGGCCCAUGGUGUCCAGUUACGCAUUUCUUGAAAUCAGUCUCCUGGUUUUGUGCCACCAGCAAUUCAGUGAGAUUGCUCUGUACCCUGUUGUUCAGAUUAUGUACAUAACAUUUAAGGUGGGUAGAGUAUUGUGAAGUCGAAUUUGUAAUUGCUUUAAUUGAUUUUGGUAACUCUGGACAAGGCCUUCAUAUCAUAAUUUUAAUUAGUAUUUUUUAAUGGAUCUCAUGUACUGAGCAUGCUUGUAAAAAUGUCUUGAUUAUACUUAUCAUCUCUAUGUAACCUGAUGCAAUUCUUAUCUUAAACUUUGAUGAAAUUUAGCCUGAUUCUAUUAUUGGAAGCUUAGAAAGCCUUUCUGUGUGAUGAGCAAUUAAAUGUAGGACCAAUGGUUUUGGUAAAUAGACUACAAAAUAUGAAAACCACAUAACCCCAGUAGUUAUAUAAUACUAAACAAACUUUCUAAAACAUAUUUUUAGGGCUAUACUCAGUACAAGAAAACAUGGAAUCAGCAGUUUUCUCAUGGAUUAUUUUUUUGAUGGCUUAAUAUUCUGGCCCUUGCAUGACUGAAAUUAUAGUUAGAGUGCACUGGAAUUUACAUUGCUGUAAAAUUCCCCUCCCUUCUUUUGCUGACUGUUGUUAUUGAUUAAUAUGAUGGUCUAUAUCUCAUGUUAGGAAGACAUUUAGUUAUUAUGUUAAAAUAUCCAAAUGCAUUUUUAGACCACAUAGAGAAAAAUUAAUUAGAAUUUUUGGACCAAGGAGUAGUAUUAGAUAUGUCUCCCAUCAGACAUGAAAUCAAUAUGAUUAUAACAUUGCUCAUAUAGACAGUAUUAGUUAUUGUCUUCUUAAUCAAUGAGAUUCACCUAACUUUAAAUGAUUUGGUGGGGCCAUUCUGAAUAGACAAUAACGAUUAGUCCUUUUUCUAAGGAGUAUCAUACAUUUCUAAGUGGAUUGUUUAUAUCUGAAUGUUUGUUGCUCAUCUCAAUUCACAUUAUAAGGUUAAGAUGUGGUUUUAUUUUAUGGUUUAAUUUAUGCUCACUUAUGCUAAUUGAGGCUUGGACUAGUAGUUUGUAAGGAGUAAACAGACUAUUUUUUUCAGAUAUUCAUAUUUUGAUCAUGGCUUAAUUGUACAAAUUGUCAUUUUUGAUAUUGCAUUGACCUUUUCCAAACAUAGCUAUUUUGUAUAAAGACUUACCUUUUUUUUAAAAAAAUCAUUUCUGCAUCUUCUUCUCUAUUUUCUUCAGUUGAGGUGUGGCUUAAACUACCUUUCAGUGGAAUAAAUACUGUGACCUCUCAGGUCAACUUCUAACUGGAGAGUCUGUUCUGUGAUCAUAUACCUCUGCUAUGAUUGGAGUGAGUUCUGGAUUGUGUUCCGUUGGAGCCCAUCAAUUAUGACCCUACAUCUUCAACAACAACAACCAAAAAAAAAGCUUCAACACGAAUAUUAUGAGGUGACAAGAUCUGCGUCAGUGACGGACUGUGUUCCUUUUUCAAGGAGGAAGUAGAUUUUCAGGCUCUAUUAAAGAUGUUGUGCUUACCAUGUUUCUCAUCUCCUGUAUCCAUACCAGCAGUAGAAUUCCAGUCAUCAGACUCUUGAACCCACAGCUUCUGCCACAGCCACCGCCAAGGAGAUCCCCCUCAGAGCCCAGAAAACACACAUUCAUGAUGGCAUUGCCCAGGAACUAUGAAGUCUGUUUGGAUAUGAAGAACCUGAAACUUUUGUCUGCUCAGAUGGAAGCCAGGCUGGUGGCCACGUCAGGAAGAAUGCUUGAAAGCCUCGGUAAGCAGAUAUGCAUGUGUUUACCUUCUUUCAGGGCACUGGUUUUCAAAUGAGUCUUUUUUUUUUUCUUUUAAUUUAAGAGAUAGCACACGAGUAGGAGAGAGGGGC